rnacentral:rRNA from 1 species
CCCUUAGAUGUUCUGGGCCGCACGCGCGCUACACUGAUGCAUUCAACGAGUCUAAAACCUGCUCUGAUAGGGGUGGGUAAUCUUUUGAAUGUGCAUCGUGAUUGGGAUAGAUGAUUGCAAUUUUUCAUCUUCAACGAGGAAUGCCUAGUAAACGCAAGUCAUCAGCUUGCAUUGAUUACGUCCCUGCCCUUUGUACACACCGCCCGUCGCUCCUACCGAUUGAAUGAUCCGAUGAAUAUCAUGGAUUGAGGAUGUAAGCAGGUUCGCCUGUCUUCAUCUUCGAGAAGUGAAGUAAAUCUUAUCAUUUAGAGGAAGGUGAAGUCGUAACA